rnacentral:lncRNA from 1 species
CUUGCACCUUGUUUUGGGCCAGAAAAUUCGCAGCGUCAUGACUGACUUCCGGUAGGCAGAAUUAACAACGGCAAAGUGCUUUGAUGAAGCAGAUAAGCCGGCAGCGCGGGGCCUCUCCUGAUAACGUCGGAACCAACACCAUAAUUAACCGCCACAGGAGCCCUGAAACGAUUCGAACUUCCCAAGUUUUUUAUAAAGUUCAUACUCUUCUUCCAGGGGUAUGCAGGGUAGCGAGCAGGUCGUAAUUAGUCGCGUGCAGUCGGUCUGCUUCCAUCCCGUCUUCUCAAGUAUGUUCUAAUUCUACAGGAGGAUAUGGAGCAUUUAGUGCCUGGUAGAAGAGGCGCCGUACACACGUCUUCUAGUACGCCAGAAAUCUUUGAAGACCCACCAGAAAGAACGUGUGGGUGACAAUCUAAAAAACCAAAUAGGGGGAAUAUAUGUGCACAUGCAACAGAAAGCACGUCGUUCAGCGCGCCACAUCACUCCCUUCGGAGCAGUACGUUGGCUCACAUAUGGCACCUUGAGUGCAUGUCGGCGCAGGAGACCCUUGCUGACGAAUAGAUAUUCACACGUGUGAAUGGGCGCGUUGUGUUCGAGAAAACGCAGAUCGGGAAUACCUCUUCCAGGUCCGACAGAGCCUUUCACCUGAGCCGAUAGCGCACUUCGGGUAUAUCGCCUUUAAUUCUGCAAGAGCACCUCAAUCAUGCAGCAUGGUUUAGGCAGCCCCUUAGUACAUGCGUAUGGGUGGGUGACUGGCUGUUUUUAGGCUUCGGGCAAUGAAAGCGUUUUGGGAUGAGGCGGGUUGUAUAUCUAUGGUUCAGUGAUUAGGUGCUGGGAGUGGUGGUCCGCAUGGUCACAGCCGCGCAACGCAUCCAAUAUGCAGAAGUUUGGAGAGAUGGAGUGAUUUAAUUUUGCUGGGAGUUGGUCCCGUGUGCUGCAGCAGGUGACUGCACGUCCUAUACAUGUGUGCAUCCGCAAAUGGUUAAAUCUCUGUUCGUGCCUCUGCGUGUAGUGCGGGUCAAGCCUAACCAUUCAUGACAGAAGAAGCCUUAGGUCCAGUGCUUGUUCGCGUCAGGUAACUGCAUAUACACGCUGACGUCUUCGGAACAGCAGCGAGCAUCAGCGGGGCAGGAUGUUCUUCAGAGUCACAGACGGUCUCCAGAAGCAAGAACUCUAAAAUCACUCAGUGUAGAGAACGAAGGGAGACAGUGGGAUAAAAGUCACCACAGUUUCACGG